CUGGCCUGCUCACUGAUAAGGUUUUAAAGAGCCGCGGUAUUUUGACCGUGCAAAGGUAGCAUAAUCAUUAGUCUCUUAAUUAGAGGCUUGAAUGAACGGUUUGACGAGAAAUCAUCUGUCUCUUAUUAAAUUAUAGAAUUUAACUUUUAAGUCAAAAGGCUUAAAUUUUUAUUUAAGACGAGAAGACCCUAUAGAGCUUAACAUUUUAUUUUUAUAUAAUUUUUAGUUGUUUUUUUUUAUAUUUUAAGAUAAUGUUUUGUUGGGGUGAUAUGAAGAAUAAAUAAACUCUUCAUAAUAAAAUCAUUGAUUUAUGUUUAUUAUGAUCCAUAAUUUAUGAUCAUAAGAUUUAGUUACCUUAGGGAUAACAGCGUAAUUGUUUUUGAGAGUUCAUAUUGACAAAGCAGAUUGCGACCUCGAUGUUGGAUUAAGAAUAAUUUUGGGUGCAGUAGCCCAUAAACGCCUUAAGUCUGU
rnacentral:rRNA from 1 species